CUCGAUUCUCUGCUUUUUGGCAAGGACCAAGUGUAGUAUCUGUUCUUAUCAGUUUAAAAACAGAAUCUUACACUUUGCAUGUUUCUCUGAAACCUGACUCCCA
ensembl:snRNA U2 U2 spliceosomal RNA